AACGAACGCUGGCGGCGUGCCUAAUACAUGCAAGUCGAGCGGGCCUCCGGAGGUGCUUGCACCUCCGGACGGCCAGCGGCGGACGGGUGAGUAACACGUGGGCAACCUGCCUUUGAGGCCGGGAUAACACCGGGAAACCGGUGCUAAUACCGGAUACGUCCUCUUUCGCGCCUGCGAGAGGGGAGAAAGACGGUCUUUAAGGCCGUCGCUCAAAGAGGGGCCCGCGGCGCAUUAGCUGGUUGGUGGGGCAAGGGCCUACCAAGGCGACGAUGCGUUGCCGACCUGAGAGGGUGAUCGGCCACACGGGGACUGAGGCACGGCCCAGACUCCUGCGGGAGGCAGCAGUAGGGAAUCAUCCGCAAUGGGCGAAAGCCUGACGGUGCAACGCCGCGUGAGUGAGGAAGGUUUUCGGAUCGUAAAGCUCUGUUGUGAGGGAAGAACAGCAUCCGGAGGAAAUGCCGGAGGUUUGCCGGUACCUCACCAGAAAGCCCCGGCUAACUACGUGCCAGCCGCCGCCGUAAUAC
rnacentral:rRNA from 1 species